rnacentral:rRNA from 1 species
UAAGGAAUAUUGGGCAAUGGACGCAAGUCUGACCCAGCCAUCCCGCGUGCAGGACGAAUGCCCUAUGGGUUGUAAACUGCUUUUGUUUGGGAAGAAAUGUAUUCUUUUAAGAGUAUUUGACGGUACCAGACGAAUAAGCACCGGCUAACUCCGUGCCAGCAGCCGCGGUAAUACGGAGGGUGCAAGCGUUAUCCGGAAUCACUGGGUUUAAAGGGAGCGUAGGCGGCUGAUUAAGUCAGCGGUGAAAGGUAGCAGCUUAACUGUUUUACAUGCCGUUGAUACUGGUUAGCUUGAGUUGACAGAAGGCAGAUAGAAUUCCUGGUGUAGCGGUGAAAUGCUUAGAUACCAGGAGGAAUACCGAUUGCGAAGGCAGUCUGCUGCAGUCACACUGACGCUGAGGCUCAAAGGUGCGGGGAUCAAACAGGAUUAGAUACCCUGGUAGUCCGCACAGUAAACGAUGAUUACUAGAUGUUGGCCAAGCCAGUGUCCAAGGGAAACCGAUAAGUAAUCCACCUGGGGAGUACGCCGGCAACGGUG